rnacentral:rRNA from 1 species
UCGUAACAAGGUUUCCGUAGGUGAACCUGCGGAAGGAUCAUUAGUGAACGCCCUCACGGGCUUAUAACUAUUCCAAACCUCUGUGAACCGUGCCCUUCGGGGCUAUUUUACAAACAUGGUGUAAUGAACGUCAUAUAUCAUAACAAAACAAAACUUUCAACAACGGAUCUCUUGGCUCUCGCAUCGAUGAAGAACGCAGCGAAAUGCGAUAAGUAAUGUGAAUUGCAGAAUUCAGUGAAUCAUCGAAUCUUUGAACGCACCUUGCGCCCUCUGGUAUUCCGGAGGGCAUGCCUGUUUGAGUGUCAUGUAGACUCAAUCCCUCGGGUUUCCGAGGAGAUUGGACUUGGGUGUUGCCGCUCUGCCGGCUCGCCUUAAAAGACUUAGCGGGAUAGCACCGUAGUCGGCGUAAUAAGUUUCGUCGGUGAAGGUUGUGAUGACUGCUUACAAUCGCCCUCGGGCAAUUUUUGACUCUGACCUCAAAUCAGGUAGGACUACCCGCUGAACUUAAGCAUAUCAAUAAGCGGAGGAAAAGGAACUAACAAGGAUUCCCCUAGUAGCGGCGAGCGAAGCGGGAAGAGCUCAAAUUUGAAAGCUGGCGUCCUUCGGGCGUCCGCAUUGUAAUCUAUAGAGGCGUUUUCUGUGCUGGACCGUGACAGCUCCUG